UAGAAAUCCAACCGGAAGCCCCGAGGCCCGACCGCCCGAGCGCGUACCUGCGAAGAUGCGCUGCGCUGCGUCUGCGUCCCUCCUUUCUUUCUCCCCUUCGCCUCGAUCUCUGUCUCUCUCUCUCUCGCCCUUUUCCCUCGCAGCGACGUCUGGGACUGGGAGUGCCGGAGUGCCGAGUGCCGCCGCCCUUCGCCAGCGAUGAGCACCCACCAAGUAAUCAGAUCCAUAAUCAUGCAGUGGGAUGAAAGGAAAAACUACCUGCAGCGAAACACAGGUUAGUAGCUCAUCAUCAAAGUAACGAAUACAGAACACAGAAAUUCACACUUUCAACAUUAGUCCGAACUCUGAAAUAGAUAGAUAUGAACUGUAGUAGGCAUAGCAUGUUAUGUUACCACCUUUUGGACUUGUAGUGAAGAUUAUACCCUAAUUAUGCUCUGUAAUCCGUACAUUCUAAGGCUUUCGAGAAAGUUCUUGUGCUUAUUGUCCAUAUUAGCUGUGAGAUGCUCGAGGAAGUCACUGAAGCUGCUCUCUUUGUACUUUGGGGGAUUUUCUUCGUCCACAAGCUCCUUGGCACAGGUGACCUUCUCAUGUAGUGCAAAACCAUGAAUGCUGGGUAUAGAAAUCCUUGCUUCUUCAGGUUUCAGAAGGGCACGAUGCACAACUGUUUUCAUUCUACCAUUGCUCAGGACUUCCAUGUGGUCUCCAAUGUGGACGUGCAAUGCAUGUGGAAGUUUCUGAACCGUUUUCCAGAUGUUGCUGCUGCGGUCGACAACUUCAAGGCCCGGACAACUUGUGAGCAAGAUGAUUGGUGAUUGCUGUGGCCAAUAUUGAAUCCAAUCGCUGAGUGGAUGAGCAUAAUGCUUUAGGAAUGCCUGGGACAUGUUGAUGCUAUCUUUUGAGCUGGUAUCAUAUCUGAUAGGUUGCCGGAGGUCCUCUGAUGAACUCUUCCUUUGUCUCACUUGGUAGUUCGAAGAAAUCUGAAGCUGAUUUAACAGCACAAUCCAUGACAGAUUGACUGAUCCCAUGGUUUAUAACCUGCAAAAUUGAUCAAUCAUCAGAGAUUUGGACAGGGAAACAAGCUGUCUUUGUUCCCUUAAAGUUGAGGAUCUGGCAAGGUUUUAUGGAAAGGCAACAGAUCAAGUUCUUUUCUGAAAACAAAAUCUGGCAAGCCACUGAAGGCUGGAAUGUUCAUAGCGCCCCAAAACUGCCCAUGACAGACCAGGCAUCUUACAAUCUGCCUUUCAAAGUACAAAAAUGAUCUCCCCAGUGAGUGGAAUCCCUAAUGGAAAUUUUAACCAUCGCGAUGAAAACUGAAGGGCAAGAUGUGAAUGGAAGUUCUUCUCAACUUUUUGUGUCAGUUUCCAUGCAACUGAGGGACAACGUGGAGCUGAUCCUCCUAGCUGAUUCACACAGACAAAUACGUGGUGUGGUCAAAGGUUUUUCAUAUGCUCCAAAUCUCACACAGCUUAAAGCAUCAGACUUGGAGCCAAAAGUGCAAAUGUAGUUCGUCAAACAAAGCAGUUCAGUAGAGACAGAAUGCUUGUAUCAUAAUAAUCUGGGUGUACUAUUAGCGAGACGAUAUCAGAGCUAUCUGCUGGAAGGCCUGACGUCAAAACUUCUAAGGUUCAAGUUGUUUAUCUUCUGUAGUAUUGCUUCAACUAGAAUAUGUUAGUUCGUCAGUUUUUGCCUUGGACAAGUGACAAGUCAGCUUCCUUGGUACAGUCUUGCAGAGUUCACAAGUGGCAACAUUAAUCAUCAGUCUCAGACAAAGGAAAAGGUCAAGUUAAAGAGAAGGAAAGGACAAAAAAGGCCCUGUUAUGCAGUGAUGUAAAGGAGCAUACCUGGAAGUACCCUAGAUCACGGCAUGCUUUGGCAAUAUCGUUAACCACGCGAGAUCGGGUUACGGAAUCAAGGCUGAGGUGGCCAAGGUUGAUCACCGGCAUUGGUAGCGGGUGCAGGUCCUCCGACGGGAGCUACUCCUGGGGGACAGUCCUUGACAAGUCAGACAUGUUGGCUGACAAAGCACAGCACCAGACACAGAGAGGUCAAUCUACUAUUCAGAAUCAGAAUAUGGAAUGAGGUACAACCGUUGUGAUUCCAUCUACUUAUAGGAUGCUGAAAUCGCAGGUACGUGAAAAACCGCCUCUUGGCUUCGCAGUGCUUGCUCCUAAGGAAUGAGAGUAUAGAAGUGUACAUACACCUGAUGGUCUUCACCUGGACCGCGCUUGGCUCCAAAGGAGAUGUCAAGGCAUACGCACACCGGUCCAUGCAUGCAUUCGUCAGUAUUCUGGUCCAGGAGAAGGUCCUGGGCUGGCACUGCAUGGACGUGCCUGUUGGACUGUGCACCAUGCAACUAAAAAAUUGCAAGCAUCAUAGGCUGCUGGAUAGAGCUCCAGGCAUCUCACUCUCAGCCGCUCUUCUUCAGUUCUCCAUAGUGUGUUAACAUCCCGUGCGGCGGGGGCAUGCAACUGGUGUUUUCUUAUGACCCAAGGUUACGUGGAUAAUAUUGUUUGUAGGAGAGUUGUUUUGCUGAUGUUGCUGCUGCCCAGGGGGUUUUCAUGUGGGCAUAACGCCUAAAAGAUUUGUCAGUUAUAAAUGGUGCAGUGGGCAGGGUCCCAAAAAGGGGGCAUUUGGCGGGUUUUGCAGGCUGCGUGUGCGAGCAUGGUGGAUCAUCUCCAGCUGCAGAAGCAGUCGGACGAGUGGUUUUGUGGCGAGUGCUGAUGCCUGUCCAGGUUCAGGGUGUUUGAGUUCGGUGUGCUGACAAUCAUCAGAUCAAGAAAUCAUUUUCCAGCUGCCAGCAACCAGUGGUCUUCAUGGGCGGCUGCUGGCUGGUGUAAUGUUGCUUACGUUUCAGAUAUCCCGGCGCCUGCUGCUCUGUCGGCUUUGAAAUGCCAUGAAGAAGUGACGAGUAUUCUAUCUUGCCACGGAAGCUUAUUUUAGAAGAUGUCGACAAGGACUAACAGAAGGAGCUUUUUGAGUUUAAUCAAGUGCUUUCUGUUUCGAAGCUGGUACGUCCGGCUACGCAGAUGUCCUGCUAUAACCGUCCGAUCUGAGAUAUCAACGGUCGAGCUAAGGUGUGGACUUUUCUUUGCUACUCCGUGUGGGUUCUCUUGCUGUGCGACUGCGUAUACGUAUACCCAAGUUGACAGCUCAACACAGCAGUACUAGGAUAGUGAUAUCAGUGAGUCAGCAGAUGUUUAGCAAGGGCUAGAGGCUAGAAGGGGUUGCGCCAACCAGGUUCUCUCUGUAUUAAGGUCGUAUAAUACAUCUGACCGAAUACGCAUUCAAACUUUUUUUGUCUGCUCGCUCUGUCGGCAAUUCAGCAUUCGUUUGGAAUGCCACGAGGAAGGUAGAAAUUGUUGCUCUUCCGCCUGUGUGGAUAUGGGUGCAUUUACUGUAAAAUUCUCUGUUUCGUAGUUCUUGAAAAAUUGUCCUGUUCGUGUU